CUCCCUGCAUGUGACUUGCACAGCCUUCCAUAAACACUUCCUGUAAAGAGAGCCCUAUUUAGGCUUUCUUUAUUGCAAGUUCUGUUUAAUUAAGAUUUUCUUAUCCCCUGCUAUGUUAAUAGCUUGCUAGACCCUGCAAGAGCCUCCUGUAUGUGAUUAAAUUUCAAUUUAGAGAUUGAGAUACAAUUAUUUAAGGUAAAUUAAAUCUGUUUGAAAGUGAAACCAGUUUUUUUUUCAUGCAGGCUCUGUCAAU